rnacentral:rRNA from 1 species
CGAACGCUGGCGGCAGGCCUAAUACAUGCAAGUCGAACGGCUCUUCGGAGCAGUGGCGGACGGGUGAGUAACGCGUGGGAAUGUGCCCUUUGGUACGGAACAACACAGGGAAACUUGUGCUAAUACCGUAUGUGCCCUUCGGGGGAAAGAUUUAUCGCCAUUGGAGCAGCCCGCGUUGGAUUAGGUAGUUGGUGAGGUAAAGGCUCACCAAGCCUACGAUCCAUAGCUGGUCUGAGAGGAUGACCAGCCACACUGGGACUGAGACACGGCCCAGACUCCUACGGGAGGCAGCAGUAGGGAAUCUUGCGCAAUGGGCGCAAGCCUGAUCCAGCCAUGCCGCGUGAGUGAUGAAGGCCUUAGGGUUGUAAAGCUCUUUCACCGGAGAAGAUAAUGACGGUAUCCGGAGAAGAAGCCCCGGCUAACUUCGUGCCAGCAGCCGCCGUAACAC